CUUCAGGACAAUCCUCUGAGAGCCGGCAGGGAAGUCCACACAGAUGGAGCGACUGAGGCUCAGAUUCCACUGACUUGCUCCAGGUCAUGGAGUCAGAAAGUGGCAGAGCUUCUCUACGAAGAAUCAGUUGAAAAUCAGAUCAAGCCUGGAGCCGG